GUGUUACACUCUUUUCUCUUUCUCGUUUUCAAUCUCUUUUCCCUCGUCUCUCUCUUUCUCUCCUUCCCUCUUCUCUCUUCUCAAACCCUAAAAAUGUCUGAACAAAAAAGCCACAGAUUCUCAUCCCCGCCGUUGCACACCCAAAUCACGUCGGGACUUCCAUCCCCAUGGUCGCCUCUUUCUCAUGCCACCACUGAUUUUGGUUCAUCAACAAACCCUAACACUACCCAUUAUUUUCAUUCCUGAACAUUAGAGAUCUACAAAUCUCAAAGAAGAAUAAACGAAAGUUGUGAGAUGGUGAAGUUGCAACAAUGACAAAUCUGUUUAGUUGAUUCUCGCAGUAGUGGAAAACGACAAGGUUUAUGGAUUUACAUUAGAGAGGAGAAAAAAUGGAACAGACAGAGUGAAUCUUUCAUCAUCAUUGUAAGAAAAGUACCUAUGUUGGUUUCUUCUUUUGUUUGUGUGUUUUUUUUUAAUUUAUUCAUCUCUAUUAUCAAAGUACCUAUCAUCUCUAGCAUGGAUCUGUGUAAGAAAAGUAUCAUUGAUCGGUGUUGUUGAUUGUCUCUCACCUCUAGCAUGGAUUGCAUUUACCAGGAACGAUUGUUGUAAGUGAAGGGUGCAGGGUGAUUAUUAUUUAGGAUUUUAUCUUUUGGUGUCUUAUAACUCUCAUGUUUUUUAUGUCUUGCUUGAAUACUUAUCACUAGAUAUUUUCCUUUAGUAUGAUAUUAUGUCUCUAUGUUACAUUAGAUAUUUUUUAGUGACCUGUUUUUAUGUUCAUUGAUAAAUCAUGAAGAUUUGACUUCUAGAAAAGAUGAUGUAAAAAUGGUUUCAAGAGUGUAAGUCUAAAUCUUACUUUCCAAAAGAUAAGGUUAUCCAUCACUAGAUAUUUUCAUUGAUCUCUUUUUAUUUUUUAUUGCUUCCUAUUUUUCAGUUCAUGGAGCUUGAGAGAAAACUGAAAGAAUGGGAAUAAAGCUCAUGAUCCACGCUUAAACAACAGGUAUGAAAAAGAAGGGACGUAGUUGGCAUUUUGGAAGCCUAUGAUACAUCUCAUCAGAGCUCGAAAUUGUCGUGAAUUUGAAAUUUUAUGGUGGUCUUGUCUUUGGUUUGUUCUACGGAGAAAGUUUAGUGUCUUUAGUUGUUUAAGACAAUUUUAUAUUUCAAGUUGAGUUAGCUAUUGAUAUAAUAUUUAUGCUAAAUUGUUUGUGAGAAGAUGUUUUUUCCAACACAAAUCAGUUCAAGUAUAUGGAUUUCCUUUACACUUUAAGAAGCUAAUACAUUGUCCUAAAUUCAUUGUGACAUUAUUUAUGGUUACUGACUUUUUGCGAACCA